AUGGCGCUAACUAUUUCUAUUUUAAUUUUAGUGAUUUUGAACUUAAAAGAAAUAAAUUCUGUCAAGUGUUAUCAUGACAAUAAUGACGUGAUCAAUGGAACAUGUGAGGGUGAUUUCUGCACAAUCGCAAAAUCAACCGAUAACUAUGCAAUUUACAAUCAACGAGCGUGUUUCAUCGGGAUCAAAAAGCCUUCUCAUACAUGCACAUUGGAUUUUUCAGAUAAUAUGGUGUGUUUCUGCGACACUGAUUAUUGCAAUACCAUAAGCCUUCUUCGUGGAAACAUUACAAUACUUCCGGUAAUUCAAUGCAAGGCCCUUAUACAGACUGUAUAUACUGCAAUACCAAGCAACAAAUGCAUUCGAAUUAUUUCUUAUAUAAAGCAUGAUAGAUAUGAACUUGACAAAUUCAAUAAUGAUCAUGUAAAAGAUCUUCAAGAAUUUAUUUCUGGUGCUGAACGAGGCGAUUCAGGAGACUUGGUUAUCGAUGCUCAUAUCUAUUGGCCAGAAAAAAUGCUACGAAACUUUUUUUCCAAAGGAUGUUAUAAUACGACAAUGAGCCCAGAGCACUAUUAUGUUUAUUGUAGAUGUGAAGAGGCCAAUUGCAAUACCCCUGAAAGUGAAGCACUUCCUUAUCCAAUAUCUCCCCCGGUGGUCAAAUGUCACACAAGUGGAUUUGCCUAUGAAAUGAAUUACAGAAAAUUCGAGACGCUGGAGUUAACUGGAGAUCUAAAUUACAAACAAAAUUACAUGACAAAUGAAACUUAUGUCGAUGAGGGUAGUGAGUCAGAAGCAGUUUUGUAAUUUAAAGUUUAAAAAAUUUGACGGCGUAGAAUACCUUCUGACCUACCAUUUUUUGUUUUACAAAUUCCAAGAAAUGCAAUGCACAACUCAAUUUCAACUUUUUAAAGCCAAAAAAAUCUCUAUAUGUCCAGAACCAUUUUCAGUUGAAUGCCAGGGUCAUUUCUGUGUCAUUGUACCGAAUAAGUAUAUUAUAGAUGGUGAAUAUGUAGAUAUAUACUACAAAGGAUGUAUUUCUGCAAACGAACAAGGAGAACAAAAAUUAUCGGUGGGACAAAAGUAUGUCAAUGAGAUUACGUACUACAUAUGCAACACAGAUUUUUGUAACAUUGAUAUUGAAACUUCUUUGGAUGCAGCAGCAAAUGCAAGUACAAUAUCAGACAAUGGAGCGGAUGGUACAAAGUUUGACUGCUUUCAAAUCGUCAUUCUGUUCAUUAUUUUUUUAAUCUGA